GGGGGUACAAGACUCACUUCCUUUGGGCUUUGUCCUUCUUGGCCUUGGUCCUUUUCUUUCGGGCCUGGAGCGCGAGCACUGCGGGAGAGAAGAAGGAUGGAUGAAGGGCCGAGGUUGGGAAUGAUGCCUGCCUGGGAAGAGCCACGUGGAGGAUUUGGUUCUGCAACAGAGUUACUCCUGCACCAUGGAAGCCGGCUGCAGAUGGAAAGAUGUGUUUAUUUUUAUGUGAAUGCCUGUUUGCCUGCACGUCUGUAUGUGUGCCACAUGCAUGAAGUACCUGAAGAAACCAGAAGAGGGCAAUGAAUCCCUGGGUACUGGAGUUAUAGAAAGUUGUGAGCUGCCAUGCAGGUGCUGGAACCACCCCGGGCUCCUUGACGACGGAGCCGUCUCUCCAGCCCCCAGAUCCCACCUUUC